GAUGGGACUGGUGGAUAGGGGAAGGGUUGGUAAUGGGACUGGUGGAUAGGGGAAGGGUUGGUAAUGGGACUGGUGGAUAGGGGAAGGGUUGGUAAUGGGACUGGUGGAUAGGGGAAGGGUUGGUGAUGGGACUGGUGGAUAGGGGAAGGGUUGGUAAUGGGACUGGUGGAUAGGGGAAGGAUUGGUGAUGGGACUGGUGGAUAGGGGAAGGGUUGGUAAUGGGACUGGUGGAUAGGGGAAGGGUUGGUGAUGGGACUGGUGGAUAGGGGAAGGGUUGGUAAUGGGACUGGUGGAUAGGGGAAGGGUUGGUGAUGGGACUGGUGGAUAGGGGAAGGGUUGGUAAUGGGACUGGUGGAUAGGGGAAGGGUUGGUAAUGGGACUGGUGGAUAGGGGAAGGAUUGGUGAUGGGACUGGUGGAUAGGGGAAGGGUUGGUAAUGGGACUGGUGGAUAGGGGAAGGAUUGGUAAUGGGACUGGUGGAUAGGGGAAGGGUUGGUAAUGGGACUGGUGGAUAGGGGAAGGGUUGGUGAUGGGACUGGUGGAUAGGGGAAGGGUUGGUGAUGGGACUGGUGGAUAGGGGAAGGGUUGGUGAUGGGACUGGUGGAUAGGGGAAGGGUUGGUAAUGGGACUGGUGGAUAGGGGAAGGGUUGGUGAUGGGACUGGUGGAUAGGGGAAGGGUUGGUAAUGGGACUGGUGGAUAGGGGAAGGGUUGGUAAUGGGACUGGUGGAUAGGGGAAGGGUAGGUGAUGGGACUGGUGGAUAGGGGAAGGGUUGGUAAUGGGACUGGUGGAUAGGGGAAGGGUUGGUAAUGGGACUGGUGGAUAGGGGAAGGGUAGGUGAUGGGACUGGUGGAUAGGGGAAGGGUUGGUAAUGGGACUGGUGGAUAGGGGAAGGGUAGGUAAUGGGACUGGUGGAUAGGGGAAGGGUUGGUAAUGGGACUGGUGGAUAGGGGAAAGGUUGGUGAUGGGACUGGUGGAUAGGGGAAGGGUUGGUAAUGGGACUGGUGGAUAGGGGAAGGGUAGGUGAUGGGACUGGUGGAUAGGGGAAGGGUUGGUAAUGGGACUGGUGGAUAGGGGAAGGGUAGGUGAUGGGACUGGUGGAUAGGGGAAGGGUUGGUAAUGGGACUGGUGGAUAGGGGAAGGGUAGGUGAUGGGACUGGUGGAUAGGGGAAGGGUAGGUGAUGGGACUGGUGGAUAGGGGAAGGGGUGGUGAUGGGACUGGUGGAUAGGGGAAGGGUUGGUGAUGGGACUGGUGGAUAGGGGAAGGGUAGGUGAUGGGACUGGUGGAUAGGGGAAGGGUAGGUGAUGGGACUGGUGGAUAGGGGAAGGGUUGGUAAUGGGACUGGUGGAUAGGGGAAGGGUUGGUAAUGGGACUGGUGGAUAGGGGAAGGGUUGGUGAUGGGACUGGUGGAUAGGGGAAGGGUAGUUGAUGGGACAUUCA